GCUGCGCACUUCGGUCUUUUACGUCGGCCUUCGCGAGCGUCUGGGCGGGUGGUAGGAACAAUGGCGCUGUCUUCAGUGGCACAGUGGAGCAGCUCUGAAGAUGCAAAGGUAAGAGCUUAGUUAAGCUUAGUUUCCAAACUAAAGGAGUAAACCUGUUGAUUUACAGGAAUAGGAACUGUUGCAUCGUUUGAAAUUUACUUUUUUUUGUUAGAUACACGAAAAAACUUCCAGAACAUCUGGGAGAAUAUUUAAUGGAAAAUCGCUUGGUUAAAACCUGACACUUUUAACAGGUAUGUGUUGUUUUAGUACUUUAUGAUUGAGCAUAGCAUUUAAUCCACACCUAGACUAAAUCAAAUUUUUUUUGUCAGUGAACAGCGUUCUGAGUGUGGACGAGUAGCCAGUGAAGAUAAUGAAUGUCGAAUGUGACUGACUAGCAGCUUCAUUUUGAAGUAGGUUGUAUGGCUUAAAAGUUCUGUAGUAUUUGUACUAUAAUACUUGCCUUUUAGCAUUACCUUGGUUUGUAGUCAGUGUCACAGAAGUGCAGUUUAAUGUAUUAUGUGUACAUAUACAAGGUCUGAUUGGUCUAAUCAAUGAUGAAACCUAUCCCGAAGCUGAUAACCUGAAGAAAAAUAAGUACGGAUUCGGCUUCUGAGAUUAAGACCAGUAAUUCAGAGGUGGAGUAAAUUUUGUUGCCGUGAUUUUAUAACAGUUGUGUUAUAAAAUCCUGGGUUUUUUUUUUUUCUGCCAACAGUGAGGGUCGCUGUCUGCCCAUUGAUAGAGGCCAGAUUGUCUUGGAAGUUCCAAAGUUGCAACGAUUUCUGGCUAGUGCCACGAGGUUUACUUGACUGUUGUGUGAAAAGCUGAUAAGAAAACCAUCCAGAAAAAAGCUCUUCGUUUUACAAACAUGAAAAUAAAACAUGUAAUUUUGGAUUAUGUUCCUUUUUGUUAUUACUUUUAAAUAGGUCCUGAAAUAACAUGGGGAGCAUUAAAUGGAAAAUCCACUAACCAGCCUUGUAAUCAAA
rnacentral:lncRNA from 1 species